rnacentral:rRNA from 1 species
GGUUUAAUUCGAUGCAACGCGAAGAACCUUACCUAGGCUUGAAAUGCAAGUUGUACCUGCCCGAAAAGGCGGGGAACCGCAAGGAAAACUUGUAACAGGGUGCUAGCAUGGCUGUCGUCAGCUCGUGCCGUGAGGUGUUGGGUUAAGUCCCCGCAACGAGCGCAACCCCGUGCUACUAGUUGCCACCAGGUAAUGCUGAGCACUCUAGUAGGACUGCCUACGCAAGUAGUGA